CUUCUGAAAGCAUGGCUCAAUGAAUGAACACUCUUCAUUUCAGGUAGCCAGCCAACACAACAUUGAGGUAAAUGCUACUAUGCCCAGGGAUAAGCCAAAUCACGUUUACAGAUAUACAGACAGAUGGCUGACAAGCAGAUCAGUUUACCUGCCAAAUUGAUCAAUGGGGGAAUUGCUGGACUGAUUGGUGUGACAUGUGUAUUUCCUAUUGACCUAGCCAAGACCCGUCUCCAGAACCAGCAAAAUGGUUCCCGUCUCUACACCAGCAUGUAUGCACAAAGCUGGUCAGAUUGCCUUAUCAAGACCAUCCAAUCAGAGGGGUACUUUGGCAUGUACAGAGGUGCUGCUGUGAACCUGACUCUGGUCACUCCAGAGAAGGCCAUCAAACUAGCUGCCAAUGACUUCUUUAGACAGCACCUGUCCAAGGAUGGUCAGAAGCUCACCCUGCUGAGGGAGAUGCUGGCGGGUUGUGGUGCUGGUACAUGUCAGGUCAUCAUCACCACUCCCAUGGAGAUGCUAAAGAUCCAGUUACAGGAUGCAGGGCGGAUAGAGGCUCAGAGGAAGCUGAUGUCCCAGGCUGCAGUUGGGGCCCCUGGGGGCCCAGUGGAGUUGAGGUCCCAUACAGCAAUGCAGCUCACCCGGGAGACGUGAUUAAGACCAGAAUUCAGACCAUGACAUGGGGAAGUCGGGGACGGCGGAGUGACAGACUGCAUCAGCUUGGGAGGACGAAGUUAGGGAAUUCCAGCUUUUGGAAAAACAGAACUCCUCCCUGGUCUGAGUGGAAUAUAAGAACAAGCUGCAGACCACAAACCAACACGAAACACA